UGUUUCUCUCCACAGCAUUCAGUCUGGUUUAGUUGCAACACUAAUGCAUGUUCUCUCUCAGGUGACGGAGUAUCUCAACGGUCAGGAGUCUGCCAAGACUGCCAGGCUCAACAUCUGGCGCUAUGGAGACUUCCGCGACGAUGACGCAGACGAGUUUGGCUACAAACUAAAAAAAUGAAAAACGCACGGCGCCAUUCCAAAGACCAACGCGGAAGACGAGAUGCACUCAUUGGACGAGAAAAAGUGACAGAAAACAAUUCAACGAAAAUAAAACAAAGUAAAGGACAAGCAUUGACUCUCUCUCUUCCUUUUAUUCCAUGUUCAUCCUUCCGGUCCUCUCUCCUGCUACUCUGUGCAUCCCUUCCUCCUCCUCCUCCUCCUCCCUCCUGACUCUGAAAGAGCAUGCUAUAGCUAUGAACUCAUAAAAACAGUGACUGUCCAAUCCUUCCUCUUCUCCACCCUGCCUGAGCCACUACCAGUUGUUCUUAUCAUGUUCCUUCCCCCCCGCUGCAGAGCUCCGUUAAUUGCCAUGUCAUCCUUUCAACACGUUUCCUGAUUAGUGACGUCAUGCGCCCACGUCAGCUAAUCAUGUGCAUCGCUACCUUACCCUAUCCCUACCACAGCCAAUCCCUCCUAUCCGUUGUACAGGAAAGGGGCUAGGCCUUGAGAAGGGGGAUUUAAGCAGAGGAUCCAUUCACUUUUAAUAUUAACAGCUUUUUGCAGAGAGAAACGCUUCCUUAAUGAAUGACAAGAAAUGAAUAAUGCUAUGUUUUAUGAAGUUUAUUUUAAAAAGCUAGCUAGAGAGCCACACCAACCGGACGAGCUUAUUUCUGUCCUUGAUGUAUACCUAUGUCAUAUGACGUUUAUGUUGGGAGUGUUUUAUUCUCGUCUUUCUUCUCUCUCGUGGCCAGAACACCUUGACAAACAGCAUUUUCUCAUCUUCCUCCUCCCUCUUUCUGUAAUGUUUACAUAUGAUGGUGACAUGAUGAUCUCUCUCUCUCUCUCUCUCUCUCUCUCUCUCUCUCUCUCUGUCUCUGUAUGCCGUAGCAGAAACAGUGUUUGAAUUUGUUUCCUUAUGACAGCCCUUGUCGUUGUAUUAAAAAAUUCUGCUGAAUAAAAAUGAGCAAAUGAUUAAAAGGCA